AUGAACUAAAUGUAAUCUAACCUCUGGAGAUCAUGAAACAUAGAAAAAGCAGUCAUCUUUCAAAAUCUGCACUUACAUAGUGAGAUAACUGUCAAGGCAAUUACUAUUGAGUUGGUUCAGACACAGUAAUCAAAUCUUUACAAGCUAAUAAAUAACUUACAUAUCUCAAAAGAUUGACAUGCCCUCAAAGAAAAUUACUUAAAUUCUAUCUCGGCCUUUAAAUACUAUCUAGUCCUAGUACCUUCACACUUGAAUUUGAUAAUCCAGAUAAGAACCACUGUUACUCCUGAAAAGUUAAUAUUAAAAUUUGAUUCCCUACCCCUUAUAUUGCUUCAGAUUUUUGUUAUGCUCUAUAUUCUAGAAUGCACAUGAACAUCCCAUAUUGUCUUUGGAAAGUAUUCUCUCCAGCUUUACCCCUGAACAUUAAAUUUACUUUUAAUUGUAACUUUGAUAAACUCUAUUCUCUGAAAUACAGAGUAUAAGGCACACAUUCACCGAUUUAAAAAAACAAAAACAAAACAAAACCAAAAACCUACCAAUUGAAUUUGAAAGGACCAAAACUUACUUCCACAUAUAUGACUUAAGUAUUACAUGAAGUGGACUCAUGCUAAAAAGGAAAAGUAGCUAACUAAAUGUGAGAUGCUUUCUUUUUGUCUUUACAUUUAUUAAGCAUGUGGUGGGGUGCUAUGACGGAAAGCAGAGACAUUUAAUGGAUGUGGGAAGUCCUCUCCCUUCACUACUCAUGUUGCAGGGAUCCAGUUCAGGUUAUCAGAUUAGUGGCAAACACCCAUACAAAAUGAGCCAUCUCACUGGCCUAAGUUGGGCUUGUAAAUGCUAAAAAUAUAAGAGAAUUCAAUUUUUCUAACUUGUUCAUAUAAAAGCAAAAAUGCAAUAUAAAAACAAGAAUGAGUUCAUAUUGGCUGAAUUUUUAUCUCACAGAACUAGAACUAGGCUGAAGAGUUGGCUCAGGAGUUAAUAACACAUACUGCUCUUGCCGAGGACCUAAACUCAACCCCAACACCCAGGUAGGUCAGCUCCCAGUCACUGUACUUCCAUCUCCAGGAGACCCAACACCCUCUUCUGGCUCCCACAGACACUGCACUCUCACAAACCCACACACUCAGAUAGUCACACCAUCUUUUAAAAUGUUUUAAAGUAUUAAAAAAUAGGAAUUAAUGAAAGCCAUAAGUACAAAAUAUAGCAUAUUUCCAGAUAUCUUUAUGUAUUCUUUUAGGAGAAGUCCCUGUUCCCUACAGAAAACCCUGCAAUAACUGGCAUGAGCAGAAUAUAGUUAGCUCAGCACUUUGUAGUCUAUGAUGUUUAUAAGCUUCUUCCACUUUGAAAACUAUGCCUAAAAAGGAAUUCUCUUUGAAGACUAAAGGAAUUUAAUUAAAGAUAAAGCCACUUGGGUGGCCACAUAACAGAUCAAACAGCUCAUACUUGAAGCAGAAUUAUUACUCUUCUUCUGUAAGUGCAUGACUCAUAAGAAUAAAAAUGAGGUUUUUCCUAUGGACAGAAAUUUGAUUGCAGAAAUUUACACUUAAAAGUACAUUGUCAUAAAUUUGUUCAGCCCAUUCAUUUUGGCAAUUUUACGUACCACAGUUUCCAGUUUUCUUUUUUUAAACUACUAAAGACAUACCUAUGAACUCUGGGUCCUAUAGAGCUCAAAAAGAACCUGAAACAUUACAAAGUUCAUGAAUGAUUUAAAAUAUUCACAAAUUUUCAAUGCUAUAAAUAAGCUGACCUUUUGUAUCAAUAUAGAAAUAAGUGUUUUUGAAAAUAUGAAAUAACAUUUAGUAUUCAAAUUUUCCUUUGUGGCCAAGCAAAACCCCAACAUGAAAGACAAACUAAAAGAUAAGUUACAGGGUGGCUGUGACUACAGUGUGACUUCUAAGCUGACCCAGGUCUCAUAGCAACAUCCUGUCUUUAAAGAAAAAGAAAAAAAAAAUCCACUAUGAAUUAUCCUCAAUUUUCACUAUACAUUAUCAACUGGAAAGUAUGGUAUCAUUCUUAAUAACAUGUUUUUGUUUUUAUCUUUCAUGACUAGGCAAGAAAAAAAUCUGUGUCUGUGAAAUGUUCCUUUAGUACAGCACUUAAGAGAAAACAGGAAGAAAUUUAGAAAGUUAUUCAGCUUCUUUCUCUUUCUAAAUAUAACAUACUGAAUAAAAUAUGAAAGAUA
rnacentral:lncRNA from 1 species